AUUACAGGCACAUGCCACCACGCCGAGCUAAUUUUUGUAUUUUUAGUAGAGAUGGGGUUUCGUCAUGUUGGCCAGUCUCUACUAAAAAUACAAGAAUUAGCCAGGUAUGGUGGCACGCGCCUGUAAUCCAACCUACUCAGCAACCUGAGGCAGGAGAAUCGCUUGAACCCGGGAGACAGAGGUUGCAGUGAGCCGAGAUCGCACCACUGCACUACAGCUUGGGCAACAGAGCGAGACUCCAUUUCCG
rnacentral:lncRNA from 1 species